GAGCACUGCUCCAGCCUUGCACACUGCCAUGUGCAUGCACACAGAUGCAAAACUUUCACCUGCAAGCACUGUGCACACAGCCAAGCGCAAUGCAUGCUCUGAUGUUCAGCCCCACCUCUGCACAACCCCGUAUGAACGCAUACCUGCACUCACAGCUCGAGGACAAAAUGCUGCUGGCACGGCACAGCCAACACGCAGGCGGUGGGCAACGUCAGGAGGAAAGGCCCCCCUUUACGCUCAUUCAUUCUCCUCUCUUUAAUGAAUGUAUUGGUGCACCACUGGAGCCCCAUCCUGAGAUGUGUUUUGCUGUGGGGUUCCUCGUCGGUGGGAUAUGGGGAUCCAGGGAUGGUAAUGGGGGUCCUGUCACGGACUGUGGAACUCUGAGGACCCAGGAGAGGACUGAGGGUGUAAGGGAGGUCUGAGGAAGAAAACAAGGGGGUUCAGUGGGAGCUCAGAGGGGGAUGUGUGCUGCUGCUGGGGACUGCAGAAGCCUGUGAUGGCCCAGCUUGUCUGUGGG
ensembl:lncRNA